rnacentral:rRNA from 1 species
CAUGCCUAACACAUGCAAGUCGAACGAGACCUUCGGGUCUAGUGGCGCACGGGUGCGUAACGCGUGGGAACCUGCCUUUAGGUUCGGAAUAACUCUUCGAAAGGACUGCUAAUACCGGAUGAUGUCUUCGGACCAAAGAUUUAUCGCCUUUAGAUGGGCCCGCGUUGGAUUAGCUAGUUGGUAGGGUAAAGGCCUACCAAGGCGACGAUCCAUAGCUGGUCUGAGAGGAGGAUCAGCCACACUGGGACUGAGACACGGCCCAGACUCCUACGGGAGGCAGCGGUGGGGAAUAUUGGACAAUGGGCAAAAGCCUGAUCCAGCAAUGCCGCGUGAGUGAUGAAGGCCUUAGGGUUGUAAAGCUCUUUUACCAGGGAUGAUAAUGACAGUACCUGGAGAAUAAGCUCCGGCUAACUCCGUGCCAGCCGCCGCGGCAAUACGAAGGGAGCUAGCGUUGUUCGGAAUUACUGGGCGUAAAGUGCAC